UGGCAGGAGGAACUCGAGAGCCGAGGCGGGCCACUGGAGGGACCGGCCGGAGAGGGGAGAACACUGGGGGAGAGAGGACAGACUGGUUGGGGAAGGGACGUACACGCAGAAGAGAGACCGAAGACUCUGGGGGUUAGAGACGCGGAAGGGUAGGUGUGGCGGGGCAAAGAUCUCCCUUUUCAGCUCCUGGAGGUCUCGAGCCGAGACCCCGGUCCGCUACGGUCUUUCCGCAGGAAUGAAACCCUGUGAGAACCUGUCUAUUGUAAUAGAGACUUCUACAAAAGAAGACAAAGGUCACUGAGGUCCACCUUAGACCCCCAAGACUUGAAGGACAUGAUAGACUGUGGGAAAUGGGGAAGCUUUCUCAAUUGAUGUUGCUAAAGUGAAGUGUCUUUCUUCUGGCUCCCUGUCUCUGCUGAUCUCUGCUGAUCCAGAAUGCCCCCAGAAGCCAAUUCGCAAUACAUGAGCCUUAGUCUCCCUUCUACCAUUGGUAAUCAAGGUUCCACUCACAAGUCCUCUGGGAAACAUCACCCUCCUUCCUUGUGAUGGUCAUUUUUCCUUGUGAUAGUCCAUGGCAGAAUCACUAUGACCAGAAAACUGGAUCACCCUCCAUAGGAUUCGUAGGUUAGUCCUAGAUUGAACAAAUAACCUUCAAAUACCCAUUGAUCACCCCAGAUAGGAUUUGUAGAUAUAAUCAAAAUCCUAAGUCAUACCCUUGGUGUCUUCUUAAUUUCUCUUAUUGUGGCUAGAUCCUGCUCGAGGAGGAAUCUAGCCUAUGACUAGCAUCCUCUUACCCUAUCCUUCAUAUAGGAUAAUCAGUUGUUCUUCCUUUCCUAUUCUCAUCUAAAGACUCCAGAUUCUUUAGUUCCACAGAUAUUCCAUUCUUGGGGGUUUUCCUGCAGACAAUGUUCCCAGAGUUUGAGAGCUGGGUGGCUUUUUGUGGUGGUCAGCCAGAAGAGCAUUGCCUCCCUUGACCUGAUUAAAGACCUUGGGACAUGAAAAUCAAAGUCCACAACACAGCACGCAUGCACGCGCGCUCUAAUACUCAUUAAAAAUGGAACAUUAAAAAUGGAAAAAUGAUUCAUUUCUGUAUGAAGAUAAAAAAAAGAUAAAUAUCAGCUUUGGCUUAAUAGAGGAUUCACUUUAAGAUGACUGAGGGAGUUUGUGCCUUGGAUAGUUCUGGCAGCAGAAACCAGCUUCCAAGAGACUAGAAAGUUGCUGUGCUAAGUCUUCAUCCUAUAGAAGACAAGCUCAUGGAGUUUCUCUACUGCAUUGCAGGGGUGGAGGAGGUUCCACAUCACAAGUGUCUUGCAUUGGUGAAAUCCUAACCCCAAAUAUGGACAUAUAUAUAUAUAAAAGGCAUGUUAUUUA